rnacentral:lncRNA from 1 species
UAGUCAGGGAACCAGACUGCGUGCAACAAUGGCGACUUCGGUAGCUUCAGCGCAUUCGGCAGGAGAGGGCCUAGAUGCCGAAAAAAACAGAUUCCAAGUGGAGCUUGAGUUCGUCCAGUGUCUUGCUAAUCCACAUUAUUUGAAUUAUGUCAUCAAAGAGCAUGUAAACACACUCAGAUUUCACUCAUGCAGGGAUAAGAAACACUUCCCUCUCUGGACUCAACUGACCUAACGGCAGGAUUUCAAAGUAAAAUCAUCGACUACAGUCUGCAGCAACCACUUUAAAUACGGCCAGCAAUAUCCUGAUGAACUUCACCCUUCUUUAUUUUUGAGAGGAUACGACCUUCCUGAGACACUGAAAAGAGCACCGGUGAAGAGUCGAGCAUUGGAUCUCACUACACCACUGCCGGCCAUCUGAGAAAAUCAAAACCUUGCUGUACCUUUUCUUAAGUUUUUAGCUGUUUCGGUGUACACA